rnacentral:rRNA from 1 species
UGAACGCUGGCGGUAUGCCUAACACAUGCAAGUCGUACGAGGGUUUUUAACUCUAGUGGCGGACGGGUGAGUAACACGUGAGAAUUUGCCUUUAGGAGGGGGAUAACAAUCGGAAACGAAUGCUAAUACCCCCAUAUGCUUUUGAGUGAAAAUGGAUUUUAUCCGCCCUAAAAGAGAAGCUCGCGGCUGAUUAGCUUGUUGGUAAGGUAAGAGCUUACCAAGGCGACGAUCAGUAUCUGGUUUGAGAGGACGAUCAGACACACUGGAACUGAGACACGGUCCAGACUCCUACGGGAGGCAGCAGUGGGGAAUUUUCCGCAAUGGGCGAAAGCCUGACGGAGCAAUACCGCGUGAGGGAAGACUGCCUAUGGGUUUGUAAAACCCUCUUUUUUCAGGGAGGAAUAAAUUGACGUGUACCUGAAGAAUAAGCAUCGGCUAACUCCGUGCCAG